UCUAUGUGUCCUCUAUCCAUACAUACCACUUUAAUCGUGCGCCGCGAUUUUGAAAAAAAAUAAAAAUGGCGACGAGUCGAUAUGCCAGCGUCCAUACAAAAAGUUUCAAACCCCUUUUAUCAGUCAUUACUUAUCCUAAUCCCAGCCGUUCUUCACUUACAGCACCUUACAGUGUAACUUAGCGAUUUUCUUAAAAUGGUCUAUUUCUCGAAAAUGACAGUUUUCAGAAUGAAUCCCCUAGCACAAGGUCUUGCAUUGGGUGUGUCGGCGCUAGUAGUAGCAGCAUUCGUGGUAAUUUUAGAAGUAAUAAGGGAGCGAAAUAUGCCUCGAAAUGAAAAUGUACACGGCGAACGAGCACGGAGGAGGAAUUGAAUUUGAAUGCAGUCAACAUUUAUCAAUGAAAAAAUGUAAUUGGGAUAUUGGUGUUGGAAUUGAUAUCUCUUAGUAUGUAUCAAAUAUAAAUAAAACAAUAACAUGUCAAUUCAAUAAAUAUUUUAUUUUA